rnacentral:rRNA from 1 species
CGCCUCUUGCCAACAACCAUGUAUAAGAGGUCCAGCCUGCCCAGUGACUAUAUGUUCAACGGCCGCGGUAUUCUGACCGUGCAAAGGUAGCGUAAUCACUUGUCUUUUAAAUAAAGACUGGUAUGAAUGGCACCACGAAGGUUCAACUGUCUCCUGCAUCCAAUCCAUUAAACUGACCUCCCCGUGCAGAGGCGGGGAUAAAACCAUAAGACGAGAAGACCCUAUGGAGCUUUAAACUAAAGGCAGCUGCCAACCAAUUUUUAUCCAUAAGGAAUAACUAUUAAACAAGCAGAAAUUGACCUAAAGUUUUCGGUUGGGGCGACCACGGAGAACAAAAAAUCCUCCUUGAAGAAUAGGGCUUACAACCCUUAACCAAGAACCACUAUUCUAAGUAACAAAAUUUAUGACUGCAAUUGAUCCAGUCCUACUGAUCAACGAACCAAGUUACCCUAGGGAUAACAGCGCAAUCCAUUUCAAAAGUUCCUAUCGACAAAUGGGUUUACGAC